rnacentral:rRNA from 1 species
GACGCAGUAGGAUAGGCGAAGCGUGCUGUUGGAGUGCACGUCCAAGCAGUGAGAUUGAGUGUUAGGCAAAUCCGGCACUCUUAAGAUUGAGCUGUGAUGGGGAGAGGAACUUGUUCCUCGAGUCGUUGAUUUCACACUGCCGAGAAAAGCCUCUAGCUAGAAUAACGGUGCCCGUACCGCAAACCGACACAGGUAGUCAAGAUGAGAAUUCUAAGGUGAGCGAGCGAACUCUCGUUAAGGAACUCGGCAAAAUGACCCCGUAACUUCGGGAGAAGGGGUGCUCUUUGAGGUUCACGCUUCGAAGAGCCGCAGUGAAUAGGCCCAAGCGACUGUUUAUCAAAAACACAGGUCUCUGCUAAACCGUAAGGUGACGUAUAGGGGCUGACGCCUGCCCGGUGCUGGAAGGUUAAGAGGAGUGGUUAGCGCAAGCGAAGCUACGAAUCGAAGCCCCAGUAAACGGCGGCCGUAACUAUAACGGUCCUAAGGUAGCGAAAUUCCUUGUCGGGUAAGUUCCGACCCGCACGAAAGGCGUAACGAUUUGGGCACUGUCUCAACGAGAGACUCGGUGAAAUCAUAGUACCGGUGAAGAUGCCGGUUACCCGCGACAGGACGGAAAGACCCCGUGGAGCUUUACUGUAGCCUGAUAUUGAAAUUCGGUACAGUUUGUACAGGAUAGGUAGGAGCCUUAGAAGCGUGAGCGCUAGCUUACGUGGAGGCAUUGGUGGGAUACUACCCUAAUUGUAUUGGAUUUCUAACCCGCAGCACUUAUCGUGCUGGGAGACAGUGUCAGGCGGGCAGUUUGACUGGGGCGGUCGCCUCCUAAAGAGUAACGGAGGCGCUCAAAGGUUCCCUCAGAAUGGUUGGAAAUCAUUCAUAGAGUGUAAAGGCAUAAGGGAGCUUGACUGCGAGACCUACAAGUCGAGCAGGGUCGAAAGACGGACUUAGUGAUCCGGUGGUUCCGCAUGGAAGGGCCAUCGCUCAACGGAUAAAAGCUACCCCGGGGAUAACAGGCUUAUCUCCCCCAAGAGUUCACAUCGACGGGGAGGUUUGGCACCUCGAUGUCGGCUCAUCGCAUCCUGGGGCUGUAGUCGGUCCCAAGGGUUGGGCUGUUCGCCCAUUAAAGCGGUACGCGAGCUGGGUUCAGAACGUCGUGAGACAGUUCGGUCCCUAUCCGUCGUGGGCGUAGGAAAUUUGAGAGGAGCUGUCCUUAGUACGAGAGGACCGGGAUGGACAUACCUCUGGUGUACCAGUUGUCGUGCCAACGGCAUAGCUGGGUAGCUAUGUAUGGACGGGAUAAGUGCUGAAAGCA